CCCCUUUCAGGUUUACUCCUGGAGAAUUUCUAAUACUCUACCAGUCUCAACUGUGGGAGGGAGAGUCAAGCAGAGGCCUAUCCAUUCCAUUCCUAGCUUGGGCAGUGGCUAAUGAGUGGAAGGCAAUCUGCUACAAGU
rfam:Ornithorhynchus anatinus chromosome 1, whole genome shotgun sequence.